AGCUUGUUCACAGGAAAACCACAGAUGUCUCAUAUGACAACUAUGGGCUAACGUCGUGUUGCAGAGGACAAGGAGGCUGAACAUUCAGAAUCAUUUAUCGCUGGCAGUCAAGGGUAGGGUCAAGGAGCCCAAGCCAAAGGCCACUGAGAACACUGAUCCCAAUGUGGAGAAGGCUGCCAACGUUGGAGCCAAGAAGACUAAGGACAAGGAAGCCGAAGCUGAGAAGAAAAAGGCUACAGCCAAAAAGCAGAAGGAGAAACCUUCAGAGGCAAGUGUGGUUUCAGUUAUGUUAUGACUAUUGGCAUUGUUCAAGUGGUUUUGGGUUAUAGGGACUUUUUUUUACACUUUUGUCAUGGGUACUGUUCCCUAUUUGGGCUUUACCAUGGUUGAAUUGAUUCUCAAAUUGAAUCUCAUGUCUUAGAUGCUACCACAAACUAGCAGCAUUGCAAACCUGUCAUUUUCAUCUUUCAGGAUGAAAACUCAGGAA